rnacentral:rRNA from 1 species
GACGAACCGUGCGAACGUUAUUCGGAAUCACUGGGCUUAAAGGGCGCGUAGGCGGGCCGCAUAGUCAGGGGUGAAAGCCUCCAGCUCAACUGGAGAAGUGCCUUUGAUACUGGCGGCCUCGAGGGGUGCAGGGGCGUGCGGAACUUCGGGUGGAGCGGUGAAAUGCGUAGAUAUCCGAAGGAACACCGGUGGCGAAGGCGGCACGCUGGACACCUUCUGACGCUGAGGCGCGAAAGCCAGGGGAGCAAACGGG